rnacentral:rRNA from 1 species
UACGGGGGGGGCAAGCGUUGUUCGGAAUUACUGGGCGUAAAGGGCGCGUAGGCGGUUCGCUAAGUUGGAUGUGAAAACUCUGGGCUCAACCCAGAGCCUGCAUCCAAAACUGGCGGGCUAGAGUUCUGGAGGGGGUAGCGGAAUUCCUGGUGUAGCGGUGAAAUGCGUAGAUAUCAGGAGGAACACCGGUGGCGAAGGCGGCUACCUGGACAGAAACUGACGCUGAGGCACGAAGGCCAGGGGAGCAAACGGG